rnacentral:rRNA from 1 species
AUGCCCUUCCGUCGGUUGGAGAUGGCCAAGACUUGCUUCAAGACCGAGCACCCGCUAGAAAGGAGGCAAGCUGAAUCUGCUAGGAUCCGUGAGAAGUACGCUGACAGAAUUCUGGUGAUCGUUGAGAAGGCUGAUAAGUCCGAUGUCCCGGAAAUUGAUAAGAAGAAGUACCUUGUCCCUGACGAGCUGCUAAACCCGCCAGUCCAUGACCCAUCUCGCCUCGACGACCGCAGUUCUACUAUGGCUGGCGCACCAUUCUGCUGUUGCAGCCUCAAGCCGGCGCCCCCGAGCUUCCUCCUCUGCCAUGCAUCUUCGCGGCCGCCACACAAACAUGGCCUGUCACCACGGCCUACUUCAACUCGCCCGCUUCUCCCGCGCCAAAUUGCCAUGGCCUGCUGCGGCCCUUUCCUCCGCUGCGAGUCGUCUCCGACUCCGAGCCGCCGCCGUCUCGUCCUUUCGCUAAACCGCCGGGUCCGUCUCUGCCUUGGUCGGCCCUGA